UCUCCGUUGGUGAACCAGCGGAGGGAUCAUUACAGGACUCGCAAGACUCCUACAACCCUGUGAACUUAACUAUAAUCACGUUGCUUCGGCGGGUGUCUCGGAGGGGGUUCCCCCUCCCCGAGUCGCUAAAACCUCCGGCAGCCUACUAUACUCUGUCUCUUUGCGUCGGCAUCUCGUGUACAAUCAAACAAGUUAAACUUUUCCACAACGGAUCUCUUGGUUCUGGCAUCGAUGCAGAACUCAGCAGACCGGACGAGUCCACGCCUGAACUCCAGUCAC
rnacentral:misc_RNA from 1 species